rnacentral:tRNA from 1 species
AGGGACUUAGGAUUACUCGAGACCGAGGACCUUCAAAGCCCUUAGAGGGGGUGAAAAUCCCCCAGUCCCUG